AUGGCCAUAUCUUAUUGAAACACCAGUUCUCAUAUGAUUGCUGAAGUUAAGCAACAUUGAACCUGAUCAGUACCUAGAUGGGUGACCCCUUGGGAAUACCAAUUGCU